rnacentral:lncRNA from 1 species
UCGCAUUCUUGUGAAAUUCGCACUGAGAUUUUGGGAAGGGACCGAGAGCAUGCUUUUGAAAAUUUGUCACAAAAGAGAAUUCGCACAAGGGGAUGUGUUGUGCGAAAAUUUCGCACAAAGGGAAUGGGUGCUGCGAAUUUUUCUGUGUCUUGGCUUUUCUCCCCUGUUUUCCCUUGUUUUCAACUUGACUUCAUUCUUCAAGCUUUCCUACCUACAUGUUAACACAAAAAACCAAUU